CCAAGUCCCGUCGCGAUAACCCCCCCCGGCGCCGGGACUCUCCCGAGCCGGGUCUCGGCGCCCUAACCCCCCCUGGGCGCCGGGGUCCGGCUCCUUU
rnacentral:ncRNA from 1 species